GCGCUAUGGCAGGAACCUCACUGUAAACUGGACAUGGUGAAAUCUCAUCUCUAACCUUUCUCUCCCCAGGGACUCUGCAAUCCAACCUGGAAAAUGAGAAAGGACUUCUGCAAUCUAAGCUGGAGAGUGAGAAAGUGGCCCUGAAGUCUGCCCUGGAGAGUGAGAAAGAGAGGCGCCGUGCAGACAAAGUGAAGUACAAGGCAGUGGAAGUGAAGUACAAGGCAGUGGAAGUGAAGUACAAGGCAGUGGAAGAGCUGGGACUCACCAAAGCCCAGAGACAUGCAGGGCGACGGUGGUUUCCGAGCAGGGACCGACCCGCGAAUGCUGGGACGCAGCGAAUUCCCCGUGAUCGUGGGGACCUCCUGCCCCGGCCCUGACCCGUGACUCUCUCCCCAGUGGACGUGACUCUGGACCCAGGGACGGCUCAUCCUGACCUCGUCCUGUCUGAGGAUCGGAAAUGUGUGAGAGAGACAGACACCCGGCAGGAUCUGCCCAACACCCCUGAGAGAUUUGACACUUACCCAGAAGUCCUGGGCAAGGAGGUGUUCAUGGGUGGGAGGCGCUACUGGGAGGUGGAGGUGGGAGACAAGACUGCCAGCCCUCGGUGCCCCGGGGUGGGGGCAGGGCUGGGGUCUCCAUCACAGGAGCUGCUCCAGCCUGGACCCUGUUGCUGCCCUGGCCCAGGGGUCGUCUCCCGAUCCCCACACACACAGCACCCCGCUGGGAGAGACUGGCUCCAAACUCUCAUCCUUCACUUCCAGAUCCCUGCAGUCCCUCGGGGGUUUUACUUGCUGACUUGUUCACCUCUCUCAGCGCUGUCCCCCUUUCCCCUCCCCUCCCUCCAUUCCCUUUUACAUUUAAAAUAAACACCUCUGC